AUGCCGGAUGUUCCACAUGAUCGCAUGUGAUUGUGGGAAAGAUUUUAUCGGCGUGGGAUGGGGUCGCGUCCUAUCAGCUUGUUGGUGAGGUAACGGCUCACCAAGGCUUCGACGGGUAGCCGGCCUGAGAGGGCGACCGGCCACAUUGGGACUGAGAUACGGCCCAGACUCCUACGGGAGGCAGCAGUGGGGAAUAUUGCACAAUGGGCGCAAGCCUGAUGCAGCGACGCCGCGUGAGGGAUGGAGGCCUUCGGGUUGUAAACCUCUUUUGUUUGGGAGCAAGCCUUCGGGUGAGUGUACCUUUCGAAUAAGCGCCGGCUAACUACGUGCCAGCAGCCGCGGUAAUACGUAGGGCGCAAGCGUUAUCCGGAUUUAUUGGGCGUAAAGGGCUCGUAGGCGGCUCGUCGCGUCCGGUGUGAAAGUCCAUCGCUUAACGGUGGAUCUGCGCCGGGUACGGGCGGGCUGGAGUGCGGUAGGGGAGACUGGAAUUCCCGGUGUAACGGUGGAAUGUGUAGAUAUCGGAA
rnacentral:rRNA from 1 species